UACAGAGGUCUCAAGCGUUGUUCGGAUUCAUUGGGCGUAAAGGGUGUGUAGGUGGCGCCGUAAGUCGGAUGUGAAAUCUCGGGGCUUAACUCCGAAACUGCAUUCGAUACUGCCGUGCUUGAGGACUGGAGAGGAGACUGGAAUUUACGGUGUAGCGGUGAAAUGCGUAGAUAUCGUAAGGAAGACCAGUGGCGAAGGCGGGUCUCUGGACAGUUCCUGACGCUGAGGCACGAAGGCCAGGGGAGCAAACGGG
rnacentral:rRNA from 1 species